AAUUUUUAAAGCCCUAAAGCGAAUGAUGCUGACAACAACCGUCUCGAUGAACUCCUUGCUUCGGGAAUAAUCAGGCAAAGAAUGCGAAGAACAGUGUCACACUGAACUGAAUGAUCCCAAAGUGUUAUCGUUUGCAGACAUCAACACUUCGCAACACGUCAUCAACUCAUCAACUAGUAUCAAAAACUUCACGAAGGGCAGAACACUGGAAACGAGGCCGCGUCAUCCCCAAAGCAUGUAAGAACAGUUUGAGAUAUUAUAAACAAAACAUAAGACCAGGUUGAAAUAGCAUUUUACGUAGUUCCAAAACAUGUAAGAACAGUUGGACAUUUGAAAACCAUACACCGUAACAGCCAAACAUGUAAGAGCAGUUAGAGACAGCAUUUACCGUAAACCCA